GUAAGUAAAAGUCGUAACAAGGUUUCCGUAGGUGAACCUGCGGAAGGAUCAUUAUUGUAUAACCGAGGUGCGAGGGCUGUCGCUGACCCGAAAGGUCGUGCACGCCCGAGUGCCCUCACACACAUCCAUCUCACCCCUAUGUGCACCACCGCGUGGGUCCCCCUUUGGCUUGUUCGGAGGGGGGCUAACGUUUUCACACAAACUUUGUAUGCAGUGUAGAAUGUAUUUUUUGUUUUUGCGAUCACGCAAUCAAUACAACUUUCAACAACGGAUCUCUUGGCUCUC
rnacentral:misc_RNA from 1 species